AGCCUUCUAAAAACAUUCUCAGCUGAAAUCAAGUAAGAUAUGGAGAAGAAAACUUUUGGGUUUUUCUUUGUGGUUCUCUUGAUUUUUGCCUCACAAAUGGGAAUAAUGAUGCCACAAGUAGAAGCAAGAGUUUGUAUGUCACCUAGCCAUAGCUAUCAUGGUCCUUGUUGGCAUGAUCACAAUUGUGCUCUUGUUUGUAGAAAUGAAGGCUUCUCUGGUGGUGAUUGUGUUGGUAUCCAACGCAAGUGCUAUUGUACUAAACUCUGUUAGUUUUUUUUUACCCAAUGUGGUGUCAAUCUGUCAGGGAUCUGUUUUGGAGUUUGACUAAUUUCGAAUUCAUGCAAGGAAGAUAUGCUGAUUUUUGUUUUCUUU